rnacentral:rRNA from 1 species
UACGGAGGGUGCAAGCGUUAUCCGGAUUCACUGGGUUUAAAGGGUGCGUAGGCGGUUCUGUAAGUCAGUGGUGAAAUCUCCGUGCUUAACAUGGAAACUGCCAUUGAUACUAUAGGUCUUGAAUUUUCUGGAGGUAAGCGGAAUAUGUCAUGUAGCGGUGAAAUGCUUAGAUAUGACAUAGAACACCAAUUGCGAAGGCAGCUUGCUACAGGGAUAUUGACACUGAGGCACGAAAGCGUGGGGAGCGAACAGG